rnacentral:rRNA from 1 species
CUUGUCCUACGGGAGGCAGCAGUGGGGAAUAUUGCGCAAUGGGGGCAACCCUGACGCAGCAACGCCGCGUGCAGGAAGAAGGUCUUCGGAUUGUAAACUGUUGUCGCAGGGGAAGAAGACAGUGACGGUACCCUGUGAGAAAGUCACGGCUAACUACGUGCCAGCAGCCGCGGUAAUACGUAGGUGACAAGCGUUGUCCGGAUUUACUGGGUGUAAAGGGCGCGUAGACGGUGCAGCAAGUCUGAUGUGAAAGGUCGGGGCCCAACCCCGGGACUGCAUUGGAAACUGUUGAACUGGAGUACAGG